UACGUAGGGGGCAAGCGUUGUCCGGAAUCAUUGGGCGUAAAGAGCGUGUAGGCGGCCCGGUAAGUCCGCUGUAAAAGUCAAAGGCUCAACCUUUGAAUGUCAGUGGAUACUGCCGGGCUAGAGUCCGGAAGAGGCGAGUGGAAUUCCUGGUGUAGCGGUGAAAUGCGCAGAUAUCAGGAGGAACACCUAUUGCGAAGGCAGCUCGCUGGGACGUAACUGACGCUGAGACGCGAAAGCGUGGGGAGCAAACAGG
rnacentral:rRNA from 1 species